AAUAUCAAAGGUGAGCCAGUACAGGAUGGACCCGCGUCUGAUUAGCUAGUUGGUAAGGUAACGGCUUACCAAGGCGACGAUCAGUAGCCGACCUGAGAGGGUGAUCGGCCACAUUGGAACUGAGACACGGUCCAAACUCCUACGGGAGGCAGCAGUGGGGAAUAUUGCACAAUGGGCGAAAGCCUGAUGCAGCAACGCCGCGUGAGUGAUGAAGGCCUUCGGGUCGUAAAACUCUGUCCUCAAGGAAGAUAAUGACGGUACUUGAGGAGGAAGCCCCGGCUAACUACGUGCCAGCAGCCGCGGUAAUACGUAGGGGGCUAGCGUUAUCCGGAUUUACUGGGCGUAAAGUGUGCGUAGGCGGUCUUUCAAGUCAGGAGUGAAAGGCUACGGCUCAACCGUAGUAAGCUCUAGAAACUGGGAGACUUGAGUGCAGGAGAGGAGAGUGGAAAUCCUAGUGUAGCGGUGAAAUGCGUAGAUAUUAGGAGGAACACCAGUUGCGAAGGCGGCUCUCUGGACUGUAAC
rnacentral:rRNA from 1 species